CUACGGGCUGCUGCAGUGAGGAAUAUUGCACAAUGGGGGGAACCCUGAUGCAGCAACGCCGCGUGGAGGAUGACGCAUUUCGGUGUGUAAACUCCUUUUAUAUGUCAAGAAAAUGACGGUAGCAUAUGAAUAAGCACCGGCUAACUCCGUGCCAGCAGCCGCGGUAAUACGGAGGGUGCAAGCGUUACUCGGAAUCACUGGGCGUAAAGGACGCGUAGGCGGGUUGGAAAGUCAGGUGUGAAAUCCUACAGCUUAACUGAAGAACUGCACUUGAAACUUCUAAGCUAGAGUAUGGGAGGGGGAGAUGGAAUUAGUGGUGUAGGGGUAAGAUCCGUAGAUAUCACUAGGAAUACCUAAAGCGAAGGCGAUCUCCUGGAACAUUACUGACGCUAAGGCGUGAAAGCGUGGGGAGCAAACAGGAUUAGAUACCCGGGUAGUC
rnacentral:rRNA from 1 species